rnacentral:lncRNA from 1 species
UACAACUCUCUCUUUCUCUUUUCUCUUAGGGAUUAAAACAGCAGCCAUAAAAUUUCUUCUAGGGUUCUUGAAGAAAUCCUCACCUUUGCAAGACAAGGUAAAUGAAAACACUUAUGGAUUUAGCUUAAUUCUCCCAUGAAUGAUUAGGAAAACAUGUUAUUUAUGCUCAAGUAUAAGUACAAAGGCAGAAUGUUUCCACAAGCUGCUACUCACUUUUCUUGAUUAUUUAGAUACUUUUCUCUUCUUCUUUGGUUUAAGUGUGAAGGGAAGUUGAAGUUCUUGAAGAUUCCAAGUUAAAAGGAAAGGUUGCAUAAAUUGAGGUAAGGUGACUACUCUAUUUUUGUCCUCUUUAUGCAUGAGUUUGAGUAAAGAAUUAUGGGUAUGUUAUUAUUAAGAACUCAAGAAAUAGUGAGUUCAAUACUUGGUUGCUAUGAUAAAGAAUAUUUGGGGUUGUUUUAUGUGUAUUGUUGUUGGGGCAGCUUGGGUAAUCUUGAAAAAGAUUAUCUAAGGUAUGUAUUGGAUAGAGAAUGAGGGUGUGGUGAUACACAUUUGUUUAAGGGUUGUAUGAGAUCAUUGUCCGUCAAAGUUAGCUAUUGUUUUACAAGGCCCACAAUGUGAUAGCUGCUGAUUUUAGUUUAUCAUGACUUAUAUUGUAGAUUAACAUCUAAAAGUGGAGGCUGAAUCGUGAUAGUUGUACUGGUCAGAGAAUAAGGUAUGUAAGGUUGUUCCAUUCCAUAUUUCUUUACAUGAAAUCUGGUAAUUGCAAUUAUUAUCAACAAAGUGAAUUUUCUAAGCUCUAUCCCUAGUAAGGGAAACAUAGUGACAGCAUACGAUCUCCAAAUAGCUAACAAUAUUUUCUACUCUUCCUAGUGUGUUGAAUUACUUCAUUAUAUGUUCAUUACUCUACAUUUGUAUAAUUAUCCUCCUAUGUGCUAGUAUAGAAAUGGUAUUCGCAACAGCAAGCUUGGUAAAUUCUCGUCUUAGUCAAUUGAAGUCAAUUGUGUCAUUUAAGCUUAUAAGUAAUGCAUUGAUGCUUCAUAGCUCCUUAUGUCAUUGUUAUUGUCUUGAAGUUAUUAUUCUCAUGUCUUCUACUACUGGUCCGUAGUUCCAAAUCUAAAACAUGAUUAUGACCAUCAAAACAACAAUCUCAAAGAUUAAAGAAACUAAGUGAAGCAAUUUGUAUAAUUAUGGGUGGCAGCCCAGGAGAAAAUGCCUAGCAUGAGUCGAUCUCAAUUGGUAUAGAAGGGUGGCAGCUCAGGGGAGAAAGCCUAGCAUGGGCCGAUCAAUUUGUGUAAUUACGAGGACAUCAUCCAAGGGGUUAAAAUGUCUAGCAUGGGUCAUCCUCUUCUACCACUAAUCAGCUAGUCAUUUGUAUCACAUGCCUUACAAAGAUUAUAAAGUACAGAAAAGUAAAGAAAAGAAUGUAACAUACAUGAUCCCACAAGAGUAAACAAAUGCGGUCUUCUAUUUCGAUCUAUGCACUUAUAUAUUGAUACUUGACUUCAUUUGAGCCUUUAUUUUACAUAUGUUAUUGCCUUACAUAUUCAGUACAUUUUUUUUGUACUAACGUCCCUCGUGGGGGACACUGCAUUUCAAGUUGCUGGCACAUGUACUCCAGCUAGUAGACUUCUUUAGUAGGAGCACAAAUACUCAAUUGCUAUUGGUGAGGCUCCAGGUUGAUUCGGAGCUUACCGAGUCUUUGACACCUAUCUUGUUACUGUAUGAUAGUUAAGGGUAAGGUGGGGCCUUGUCCCACCCUAAACUAAGGUUUUCUAUAUUUUAGAGGCUUCAUAUGCUGAUGUAUAUAGUUCAGUUGUGUCUUGUCUCUUAAGAAGUUGUGGCCUCAACGGCCAAGUCUUGUAUAUAAGUUUUGGAUCUACUUGUGUUGGUUCGUAUUGCUGCAUCCUAUAUGGACUUUUUACAACUUUAAAAUUUUUAUAGUUAUACGCAUAGUAAGCACAUGUUAUAUGUUGGUUCUCUCGGGCCUUUAGGGCAUCAGGUGCCAAUCCGUCUUAAUGGGAAUUGAGGUGUGACACAAUAGGCCUUCAUAUCCCUUUUCUUCAAGUUAAACAUACUAUUGAUAAAUGAUAAAGUUCUGACUGUGUUACCAAGUUGAAACCUAUGUACAAAGUAGUGCUAAUGUUUAUUUUAUGACAUUUGGAAAAUGAGGAAUAUUAUUAAACACGGGGGUGAUGGGGGAGAAAGAUAUCAAGGUAUGUGAUGAAUAUGGAGGUUAAUAGGAAUUUAUAUUUAUUUGCUCAAAAUAAAUAUCCCUGGUUACAAGAAAUUCCUAGCACAUAGCCUUUGAUGGUGAAAAUGUUUGAAGAAUGCACUCCAUUAAUUUCUUGUAAAGUUAUUAGAUGGGAAGUUUCUAGAAAUGAGUUUUUACAAGUGUAACAGUGAUAGUGUCUGUAGAGGAAACAUUGGGGAAAGUUCAAGUGUCUACUGUAUUAGAGAUGGAGAAGACAAUUUUGUAUAUACUGAAGCAAAGAAAUAUGAUCAUUGUUCUGUAUUAAUGGUUGAAUGCUUAGCUAUGAAAUCACAAUGAUGAGGAACAAUAAUGUUGUUGGAUAGAGAUCGAAUUCAUGGCGUUUGUGAAAAUUUAAAGCAUCGAAGUGAAUUUCACUUGAGCUCACUUUUUGGUAUCCUAAGUUUUAGGCUCUGAGGUGAAAAUUCUAUGAUUGGUGAAUGAUUCAAUUGAAGCCAUCAAAGGUUGCUAAAUUCGAUUGAUCAUCUUUCAGCUAUUUCUCUAUAGAUUUUCUCUUUUCUUGCUUUUGACUCGUGUUGUUCUUUAGUUGAGGAAUAUUGUUUAGGAUAGCGAGUCUCUUUUCUUUUGGUUUUGAACUUGGGUCAUUUUUGGACCCAAGUUAUGUAUAGUUUCGUUUAGCAAACUAGUCAAAAUUCCUAACAUAAUUAUUAAAAACAUCUACACUUUAAAAUAAUUAUUAAAAAUGUCAAUAUGUCAAUAUUUUAGCAAAUAUAAUGUAUCCUAAUAUAAUUUAUUUACUUUUUUUUUUCUCAAAUUGGGCCCAUUUUUUUACCCCAUUACCAGUGAAAAGAAAAAAAAGAUCCCAUUAUCCACUUUUCUCUCUCUAAUUUUUUACCCACAUUCUAUCUUUUCUCUCUCCUCAAGUAACUUAAACCUUAUCUUGUUUAAAUCGAAAUUCAUCCAUUGUUCUAAGAAAUCUCAUAAUUCAUUCAAAAGAUUUUCAACCUUUUAUAUAGAUUGUUUAAAUCUAAGAAAUCAUUUUUCUCUAUCAUUUUCAAUAUUGUAUUCUUUUUUAUUACUAGUGUGUUUUCAUAUUGUAAUUUAAUUAUUUAAUUUUUCUGGGUACUAAUAACUUUUUUGGAUGACGAGACAAAGUUUUAUUAAUGCACAAGUGAAUACAGAUUCAAAUUUGAGUUGGGUGAACAAAAAAUCAGAAAAAAGAAACAUAGCAGAAGAAGAAGAAGAAGAAGAAGAAGAAGAAGAAGAAGAAGAAGAAGAAGAAGAAGAAGAAAUUUAGAGAAAAAGGUUGCAAAAUUGUGUUCAUACUAGAAUUGUAUUCAUAUUAAUUUUUGUUUGUCAAUUAUUUUUCUUUUACUCAACAUUUUGUAUUUUUAUUAAGAACAUUGUAUUUAUUUUUUUAGUUUGUAGUCAUUCCAAUAGUUAU